UCCCAGACUCCUACGGGAGGCAGCAGUGGGGGAUAUUGCACAAUGGGGGAAGCCCUGAUGCAGCGACGCCGCGUGUGGGAAGACGGUCCUCUGGAUUGUAAACCACUGUCCCCAGGGACGAAGAUGACGGUACCUGGGGAGGAAGCUCCGGCUAACUACGUGCCAGCAGCCGCGGUAAUACGUAGGGGGCAAGCGUUAUCCGGAUUUACUGGGUGUAAAGGGAGCGUAGGCGGCCAUGCAAGUCAGAAGUGAAAACCCGGGGCUCAACCCUGGGAGUGCUUUUGAAACUGUGCGGCUAGAGUGUCGGAGGGGUAAGUGGAAUUCCUAGUGUAGCGGUGAAAUGCGUAGAUAUUAGGAGGAACACCAGUGGCGAAGGCGGCUUACUGGACGGUAACUGACGUUGAGGCUCGAAAGCGUGGGGAGCAAACAGGAUUAGAUACCCCCGUA
rnacentral:rRNA from 1 species